rnacentral:lncRNA from 10 species
CCCUCCCGCAUCAGCACCGGCUGGGUGGGUGCGGAGUGCGCCAGCGGCCAAGUCAAGACUCCUUGAAUGCUCAGGAAGGUGUGACUUGCAGAGGAGUUGAUUCCUUCUUAUGUACAUUUACUGGAGAAGUUUACAGCAGGAGACUGGGGUCUGAGACACACGCAUCUUUGUGUGCCCCAAAGAAUAAAGCCCUCAAAGGAUGUGAAGCCUGAACUCACUUCAAAUGCUGGAAAGGCCCUUUCCUUAGCUGAGCUGUGGAGGAACCAGGACUCCUGUGGCACUGCCCUAACGAGGAGGCAGUGCUGCCAGAUUCAGGUCUGCAAGACAGCUUUGAUUCAGCUGAUUUCAGCCAGGCUCACCCCGACUUUGCAGGGCGCUGCGAACCCCAGCCUUCAGGUCGGGUUCAGCAUCCAGCAGUGCCCUGGAAAAGUGGCUGUGAAGUUACUUGCAAGACUGCAUUGAACCCGGGCGAGACACUUCUCAGGGGAGCUGUCCAGCUACAUUCUCUGAGUGAAGGUCCUGAACAGCUUGGAGUACUAAGAAGAGCGCUGGACAUGAACUGGAAUAUGUGGGUUCAAAUCCCACCUUUUCACUGCCCAGCUCUGUGACCCUGAGCAAGUGACUCAACCUCUGUGAGCCCCGUGUCCUCUCUGUAAAAUGGAGGUAUGAAUGCCUGUGAGAACAGGAUAUGGGGAGGGUUCCUGUAUAACACUUCGCCCUGCCCAUCUGAAUAAAAGGCUGCAUUCACCCUUCCUAAGGAAGACCACUUUCCGAUGUUCCAGUCUGAAGACAAGGAAUGCAAAGCUCACGGAUGCCGAGGAAUUUAUCCAAGAUCACUGUGAUGGGAUGGGAACUUUGGUUUUCAGCCUUUAAAUACAUUGGUGCAGAAGUCCAAGAAAGAUGCUUGGAAAGACCUAGUGGUA